rnacentral:lncRNA from 1 species
AAUUUUUCUACUUCCCCAUGUCUCGCCAGUUCCCUUAUAUUUCUCUAAAUUAGAUUUUUUUUAUAAUAAAGCCCUGCCCCGUUUUAAGUAUUGUAACUCCCGAUCACCGCUACCCUUUCCGAUUGAUCUGAGCCUCAUAACUUAUGUCAGGGCUCUGCCCGACUAAGUUGUUGGGAUUCUAUCUCGGGACUUCAGGACAAGGUUGAAUUACGGGUACUAUACUUACCACGAUUGCAUUAUAUAUUUUUAUAUAACUCAGAAGUUAUACCCAAAAUUUAUACCAGAAGGUUUUCUAGUUGAACCCUAAAGUUACAAAGUGGGUCCAUUCUCUUUUCUCACCGUUUUAUUUCCUUUUUGUGAUUUACCCAAAACUAUUAUUUAUUUUGUAAACAAAUCUCGUCAAAAGUCAUAUCUAUUAUUUUAUUUACCCAAUAGGAAACCCUAGUUGAGACACCCAAGUAAUUCUGCAUAAUCCCUAAAAUUUUCAGAAUAAUCAGAAUCAGGAUCAGGGCCCCUAAAACUCAAAGGAGGCAAUUCCCAUUCGAUAUUAUCUUCAAAAAUCUGUUGUCAAAAUUGAAUUUAGUCGUACAGUCGACUCAUCAAGCCUACCCCUAAACGUGUCCACCCUAGGCUAGAAAAUAGACAUGUCGCGCCACGCGACGGGUGCACAUGUUCUUGUCGCGACACGCGAGAGGGACGAUUUUCCAGCUAUAAAUAGUAGGCUGUGGGACUUGAUUUCUGGAGUUGGAACGACGGAAAAUUCCGUCUUACACUCCGAGUUAUAGCCGGUCUGCUAUAAAACACCCACAAUCACGAAUUCUGCUACGAUACAGGGUAUUAACUCGAUCGCUAUUACGAUUCAACGUCCGAUCGAUUAUAACUAUCCAACGAUUGUUUGAGUGCUGCUCAAAUUGAGUUUAUACUUUGUUAUUCAUCGUGAUUUCGACUUGAAUGUUUGAGUGCUGUCUAAAUUCAGACGAUACUCUGUCAUUCGUUGUGAAUCCGCUGAAGUGUUAAGUGUUGCACUUUGUUAAUCGUUGUGAGGGUUUAAUCUCGUGAAUUGCCGUAAAUGCUGUAUUAGUUAUUUACCUAGUUUCGUGUGCAUCAUUUCCUAAAUUAGGUUAUUAGUCUUACCAAUAGGCUAAACUUCACCCCAUACACCUACAAUCAAAAUAGAUGCUAAUUCUCUGAAGAACCUGAAUCAUGAAGCUUGUUAAUUCAAUACUGCAUGCUUAUAAUGUAAUUUCAGUAGAUUGGAGUAAGAAUUGGAUCCGGCACUGAAGGCAUCAAGAAGUGGCUUAUUUUAUUAAUUUAAUCAACUUAAGAAAUAUUGUUUUUAGGGUUUAUCCUGUAUUAAAAGCUAGCUUUGUAAAACAUGGAAUUUAUUCCAUCUAUUAAAUAAAAUCCGGUGUU